rnacentral:rRNA from 1 species
UACGUAGGGUCCAAGCGUUGUCCGGAAUUAUUGGGCGUAAAGGGCGCGUAGGCGGCCAACUAAGUCGGAUGUGAAAUCCCCAGGCUCAACUUGGGAACUGCAUCCGAUACUGGUCGGCUUGAAUCCGGGAGAGGGAUGCAGAAUUCCAGGUGUAGCGGUGAAAUGCGUAGAUAUCUGGAGGAAUACCGGUGGCGAAGGCGGCAUCCUGGACCGGCAUUGACGCUGAUGUGCGAAAGCUAGGGGAGCAAACGGG